rnacentral:rRNA from 1 species
AACGGCUGAACUGGUAACUUGGAGGAACGCUUUUUUCGUCGGGAUGAAAAGAAAAUCAAUUUAUUGAAUAAAGUUCUGUAUGCAUAUUGAUAAUGACAAUAUGUACAUAUGUCUUGACUAAUUACGUGCCAGCAGUCGCGGCAAUACGUAAGAGACUAGUGUUAUUCAUCAUAAAUAGGUUUAAAGGGUACUCAGAUGGUAAAAUUUGCCUUAAUAAGGAACAAUUUUUCUAGAGUUUUAUGUAAGGAGGUAGUACUCGUGAGUGUAGAGAUGAAAUUUGUUGAUACCACGGGGACUGGUAAAGGCGAAGGCAACCUUUUAUGCAAAAACUGACAUCGAAGGACGAAGGCACAGAGCACGAACAGGAUUAGGUACCCCAGUAGUCUUUGCAGAGAAUUAUGAAUGCCAUAGAUUAGAUUAUAAAUUUGGUCUAUAAAUGAAAAUGUAAGCAUUUCACCUCAAGAGUAAUGUGGCAACGCAGGAACUGAAAUCACUAGACCGUUUCUGACAUCAGCAGUGAAGUAUGUUAUUUAAUUCGAUAAUCCACGAAAAACCUUACCACAAUUUGAAUAUAAGUAGUUAAUAAACCUUACAAAAGGGAUAUAGUCAUUUAUGACUAAUAUUAAUUAUUAAUACAAGCGUUGCACGGCUGUCUUCAGUUAAUGUUGUGAAACUGUGGUUCGGUCCAUAAAAUUAACGGAAACCCUUGCUUUAUUUGAAAAUAAUUUUUACUAUAAAGCAGUUCACCUCUAUAUUGGAUAUGAUAAAAGGGAUCAAGACAAGUCAUCAUGGCCUCGAUAUUGUGGGCUAUAGAUGUGCCACAUAGUCCUAAACAAAGAGAUGCGAAAAUGCGAAUUUAAGCUAACCUCAAAAAAUAGAAAAAAAAGGAUAU